UAUUAACCUAUCCAAAAAAGU
rnacentral:piRNA from 1 species